UACGAAGGGGGCUAGCGUUGUUCGGAAUUACUGGGCGUAAAGCGCACGUAGGCGGAUUGUUAAGUGAGGGGUGAAAUCCCGGGGCUCAACCCCGGAACUGCCUUUCAUACUGGCAAUCUCGAGUCCGAGAGAGGUGAGUGGAAUUCCGAGUGUAGAGGUGAAAUUCGUAGAUAUUCGGAGGAACACCAGUGGCGAAGGCGGCUCACUGGCUCGGUACUGACGCUGAGGUGCGAAAGCGUGGGGAGCAAACAGG
rnacentral:rRNA from 1 species